AAAAUCGACGGAGGUAAAUGGAUUAGCACUAGCAUCACUUUCAACAACAGUUGUGAGAGAUUUAUACUUCAACUCUUCAAGGUCACAAUCUCAAUUUUGCGGCAAUAAGAAGUGGGCACAUCAUGCUUCCCUGAAUUGUUGAGAGGGAAUUGGGGAAGGUUCUGUUGGAACUGGAGUAGGGGGAAUAGCUAUCGGCCUCUCUAUAGAGAAGCGAUUAGAUCCACCAAAGCUGUCAAUGGACUUCAUGUAUUCAGAUGCAUUAUUUUCAAUUAUCAGAGCAUCUUCAAGCUCACGAACAAUGUCCACCAUAGAUGGCCGAUACGCAGAGUAGGUUUCUGUGCAUGACAGUGCUACCUCCACUACCCUCCACAUUGCCUCUGAAUGAUCGAUGUUUAAGACCUUGUGGACUAUCUACACCUUUUGAUCAACUUUAUUAUCUAGAAAAAAUAGUGCUGUUAAAAGUUUCACGAAGAGUAUGAACCCCAAAAUGUUGUGCAAAAGUUGUUGUAUGAGCAACAGAAUUUUGAAGGCAUUAUAUAUGUAAAUUCACAUUUAGCUGUAGUAGUAUCAUACCCAUUCUACUAAGCUCCACUCUGUCCGGGGUCUUUUAAUGUUGAGAGGUUCCCGCCCGCUUAUCAUUUCAAGCAGCACAACUCCAAAGCUAAAGACAUCGCUCUUUGCAGACAAAUUUUGGGUUGAGUAGUACCUGAAAAAACUUGUUCAAAUAUUAGAGAAGUAACUAGGCAGGUGUAGUUAAAGGACAACACAAUUAGAGUGUUUAAGUUGGGAAAAACUGGAAAUGUAUGAUAUCUGUGUGCAUAAGAUUAGGAAAGAGGGAAAGGUAGGAUAUCAAUAAAACUUUGGAAACUAUAUAUCCGUAUUACUUACUCUGGAUCCAAGUAUCCAGCCGUCCCCCUAACUUCUAGUGAGGCAGCACUAUCCCCUUCUUGAGGAGCAUAUUUUGAGAAUCCAAAGUCCGCCACCUUGGCACACAUUGUAUGAUCUAGUAGUAUGUUACUUGAUUUUACAUCUCUGUGUAUCACGCUGCGGCUUGAAAAUGUGUGGAGAUAUGUCAGACCUGUAUAAUGAAACUGUUCUUUUAGAACGUUGGAAAAAUUGCAGUUUUAGACUUUUAGUUGUCACAAUAAGGUACUGGUAGAUUUAGCAAUGUUCUGAGUGUCAUUGGGUUGAUAUAGUUUAGACUUUGAAAUUGGCCCUUCUUGUUCUUGAAUAGUCAAUUAAGUUGUGUGCUUAUUAUUUAAAUGUAAUUCUAAAUUGCUUAAUUUCAGUCUGUAGUUCACAAUUAUGAUUGAACUCCUACCAUUCAAAACUUGGAUGAUAAUGUCAAAAAAUAUGUGAUACUUGCCUCGAGCAGCUCCUAAAGCAAUUGAAAGCCUAGUUGGCCAGUCUAAAGUCUUGCGUUUGGCAGCUUCCCCUGAUGUACAUAGGAUUGAUAAGCCAUAGCAUGAAUGUAAUUUUGAUACUUAUACCAGCACAAACUCUGUUAAAUUAGUUUUACCAUAAAGGCGAUCUUGUAGAGACCCAUUCGACAUAAAAGGAUAAACAAGAAUUUGUUGGUCAUUUUCGUUACAGUAUCCCAGAAGUGGUACCAGAUUCUCGUGCUGAAUAGCUGAAAGAAGGGUCAGCUGAAGAAAAUGUUGACAAGGAUUAUAAUACAUACAAGAAGUCAAACUUUCAAGUAAAAUGGUUUCAGGUUGAUCUGCUUUACCUCAUUAUCAAAUUCACGAGUUCCCUGGGUGGAAGUGGCUGAACGAACCUUCACAGCCACUUCUUGACCAUCUGAUAAGGUACCACGAUAAACAGGUCCAAAACCACCUUCACCUAUUAAAGUCUUGUACUGCUGGGUGGCAGUUUCUAUGUCUUGAAGGCUAAAACUCUGAAUAGAUAUGGACUGCAGAAUGAUAUCAUCCAUGCUAGAUAUUGAAUAAAUCAUGUCUGCAUUAGAAGAAAAAGAUAGUAUGGAUGAAUUCUUCUCUAUUGUGAAGUAUAUGAUGUAGUGUGUGCAGAUGGUGAACUCACUAGAUAUAGAUAAAUUUAUAGAGCUUCUAGGUAAAUAUAAGUUACGUAGGAUAUUGAAAUCUUACUCUUUGUCAGUGGAUACCCUUUUACAUCGAAUUCUCUCUUUUUAGCUGUCGCUUUCCUCUUGUAAAUCCAGAAAGAAAUUCCGACUACACCAACAAUCAAAAGUAACCCUCCUGCGACUGUUCCUAUGACAAUACCUGUGGCCAUGUGUAAAGACCCACUUCCACCACACAUACCUUUGCUGAAACGAGUGCAGAAACCAAAUGGAACAUCUCUGCUUAAUUGAUGAUUGCAGCCAAAUAAUCUAUCAAGGAAAACAUUUAUAUUGAGUUAGGUGUGUGAAUAUGGCGGGGUUCUCAGUAUUUGGGGGCAUACCUGAUCUCCGCUCCUGUACUUCCAACAUCAACUCGGUCCAUAACUUUAAGAGCAACUGUAGCUUUCUCCUUCACAUACUCUGACAUUAAAGGCCUCAGUUCAAGCUUCAAGAGGUAGGGAUCUCCCAUCUCUUUAGAUAGGCAAAGGUUCAUAUAAUUAUCAUUAGCCUUAAAAACUCCCUCCACAACUGCAUCUUCUGAUGAUUUUACAAUGGCUAUGGAUGUGAUAUCAAUUAAAACAUCGAAUCUUGUACCUGUAGGUGAUCUUUGCUGUUCCCCAGCUUUAAAUAUACCUCGUAGCAGAUAGUUUUCAUCCUUCCUAGUUUUUAAAUUAUAACACCACUUAUUACCAAAGGUUGAGCUGAAAACUCGAACUUUGGUUGGUGGACUGAUCUCCUGGCAACUUGAGAUAUCAGGGUACCACUGGUCAUCUGUAGUCCAACUGAUAUUGGUGUUCGGGUCAGUAAAGUUUGUUUGGGCACAACACUGUAGACUCACAAAUCCUGCAUAAACAUUCUACUGUUAACAUCUGUACUUAUAGGACCAUCAAAAGGUAUAUUACAUUUGGAAAGUAAACAUAUGGUACUUGGUGUAUCAUACAUAUAUAAUGUUUUAUGUACUUAUUGCGAUACCACCUAGCUCCUCUUGCCUCCCAUUCUUUAUUAUCAUACUUACAAUGUGUUCUUAAUAGAAGUUUAACUGUGUUAUGCCAGUAAUAGAUGCAAUAUAUAGUCACGAAUUGAAUACUAAAAUGCAAAUGAAAUAUGGUCAGUUACAAUAACAACAGGUGUGACUGUUUUUAUCAGGCAAGGAUGUACCUUUCUCAGAGCUAAUAUCUGCAUGUUGAUUUUAUCUGUGGAUCAUGAAAACUAUCCGACAUAUAAAUUUGUGAUAAUUUAUAAUUCAGGGAACUUCAUUUUCCCCUAAAGACUUUUUAUUCAAUUAUGGUAAUUAUAGAUGUUCUGGUGUUUGACAAUUACAUAGCCUCAAGUCAGUCCAUGGGUGAAAUAAAAUUUCUCUUACAAAACAGGAAAAUAAAUUUUUGAGAACAUCCUUAAUUUAUCAAAAUUAACAUCACCCUUAUAAUGACUGAGAUUGUGUUCUGCAUACCUUCCUGAGCACGAGUUUGCUGAAGUAUUAGCGAGAUGCAGAGGAUGUAGAAUCCAAGGACUCUUGUUUCCCAAUAAAUCAACCCUUCCAUUAUCUCAUUGUGAAGAAGCCUGGUUGCUCCAUUAGGUCAUCAUAUGUAUAAGACCGAGUAGUUAACUUUCAUUCUUGACCUUCAAGGACUUCUUAAAACUAAUUUUUAUCUUUCUGAAUUAUUUCUCUGAUUCAAGAUUAUCAGGAAUAGAUUCUUCAAUCUUCUUGAUUCAAAAUUUAAACACGAGGAAACUUUUGAUGGUAUAAAAGCUUAAAAGGACUGUACAGGAACUUUCGGGACAAAUACAGCAGAAGCUCAGCGAAGAAACAGUUUCAAAUCAGAAGUAUCUGGGUGGAAAAAUGGAAGAGCUCUGUUUGACUUCGACUAUAGACAAUGCAAAUUGAAGAGGGAGCUAUUAAUUUAAUCCAAAUUGUUGAUUAGUUACUAUAAUUAAGGGGGCGGAGCAAUCCUACGUAUUCGUCUCUCCUCUUGUCUGUUGCCUUCAGUGAAACAUCAUGGAAAUGAGGGCUGGAGGUAACUUCGGUAAUUGUUUAAUGUGUUUUACCAAUUAUAUGUACCAAAUAAAGACCAUGUCCAUCCCGAGUAUACUUACCACGAUGAACAGUACUGAGGACCUUAAUACAAUUUUAUUGUAUACGACUCUGAGAACACGGAUUAGUACACCGUUUAAAAGUUACAGCUGGAGGCUGCCUCAUAGUUUAGACAUAUUCAAUAUUGUACAGCACAUAUAUUCAGUAAUUACAUAUGGGUGAAUCCUCGGACAUUUGAUUA